rnacentral:rRNA from 1 species
AACGAACGCUGGCGGCAUGCCCAACACAUGCAAGUCGAACGAGAUCUUCGGGUCUAGUGGCGCACGGGUGCGUAACGCGUGGGAAUCUGCCCUUUGGUUCGGAAUAACAGUUGGAAACGACUGCUAAUACCGGAUGAUGACGAAAGUCCAAAGAUUUAUCGCCAGAGGAUGAGCCCGCGUAGGAUUAGCUAGUUGGUGUGGUAAAGGCGCACCAAGGCGACGAUCCUUAGCUGGUCUGAGAGGAUGAUCAGCCACACUGGGACUGAGACACGGCCCAGACUCCGACGGGAGGCAGCAGUGGGGAAUAUUGGACAAUGGGCGAAAGCCUGAUCCAGCAAUGCCGCGUGAGUGAUGAAGGCCUUAGGGUUGUAAGGCUCUUUUACCCGGGAUGAUAAUGACAGUACCGGGAGAAUAAGCUCCGGCUAACUCCGUGCCAGCAGCCGCCGUAA